GAUGAACGCUGGCGGCGUGCCUAAUACGUGCAAGUCGAGCGAACGGACGAGAAGCUUGCUUCUCUGAUGUUAGCGGCGGACGGGUGAGUAACACGUGGAUAACCUACCUAUAAGACUGGGAUAACUUCGGGAAACCGGAGCUAAUACCGGAUAAUAUUUUGAACCGCAUGGUUCAAAAGUGAAAGACGGUCUUGCUGUCACUUAUAGAUGGAUCCGCGCUGCAUUAGCUAGUUGGUAAGGUAACGGCUUACCAAGGCAACGAUGCAUAGACGACCUGAGAGGGUGAUCGGCCACACUGGAACUGAGACACGGUCCAGACUCCUACGGGAGGCAGCAGUAGGGAAUCUUCCGCAAUGGGCGAAAGCCUGACGGAGCAACGCCGCGUGAGUGAUGAAGGUCUUCGGAUCGUAAAACUCUGUUAUUAGGGAAGAACAUAUGUGUAAGUAACUGUGCACAUCUUGACGGUACCUAAUCAGAAAGCCACGGCUAACUACAUG
rnacentral:rRNA from 1 species